GACGCCGCCUCUUCGCUCCGAGUCGACACGCGGUGCCACGCGCUCCCCCGGCCGGACGACGCGCGCGCUCGCCGGCGUGGCACCUCGUCGCGUGUGCCGUUGUUGCAAAUCAUUCUCGGAGUCGGAGUCCGGAUGUUGCAUUCCCGCAACUGUAGCUGAAUGUUGCUCAUCAUUUUCGCGUUUCGGUUUUGCGUUUUCCUAUCCGCUUAAUGGCUGCACGUAACCCGGAUGUUGCAAAUCAUUCUCGCAAACGUAGUCAAAUAUUGCCAAUCACACUCGCGUUUUUUGCUUUUUUUUUGCAUUUGCCAUUUAGCAAGUGACACUUCUUCCUUCCAUUCUUAAAAGAAAUAAUCUUUUCGCUGGACUAACAUGCAAUUUACCGUGAACUGUUGAAGACAAGAAUGUAAAGAAGAUAUAUACUUCAUUCUUAAGAGUCGACGAACUUUUUUUGUGUCAACCUGGACUGAACUUCGUUGUAAAUAAGGAGAGAAGAGAAGACUUCAGCAGCGAAAGGAUAUACUAAUGUGAAUAAAUAUAAAUAAAGAGAAAAAGAUAAACAGAUAGAUCAGUGAAUACGCAAACAGAACUAUAAACUUCAAAGAC